AAUAGAUACCCUGGUAGUCCACGCCGUAAACGAUGAGUGCUAAGUGUUAGGGGGUUUCCGCCCCUUAGUGCUGCAGCUAACGCAUUAAGCACUCCGCCUGGGGAGUACGGUCGCAAGACUGAAACUCAAAGGAAUUGACGGGGGCCCGCACAAGCGGUGGAGCAUGUGGUUUAAUUCGAAGCAACGCGAAGAACCUUACCAGGUCUUGACAUCCCAUUGACCACUAUGGAGACAUAGUUUUCCCUUCGGGGACAACGGUGACAGGUGGUGCAUGGUUGUCGUCAGCUCGUGUCGUGAGAUGUUGGGUUAAGUCCCGCAACGAGCGCAACCCUUGUUCUUAGUUGCCAUCAUUUAGUUGGGCACUCUAAGGAGACUGCCGGUGACGAACCGGAGGAAGGUGGGGAUGACGUCAAAUCAUCAUGCCCCUUAUGACCUGGGCUACACACGUGCUACAAUGGACGGUACAAACGGUUGCCAACCCGCGAGGGGGAGCUAAUCCGAUAAAACCGUUCUCAGUUCGGAUUGUAGGCUGCAACUCGCCUACA
rnacentral:rRNA from 1 species